GGUUGGAGGCGCAGCGGCCCCGCGAGCAGACGCGCAGGUGAGCGGACCCGCGCUGGGGUGCGGGGCAGGUGCGCGGCCCUGGGGGACAAGGAGGGGGAGAGGGGCGAGGGCUAACCACGUCGGCCCCAAACUAGCUGCCUGUCUUUAAAUGUUUGCUUUCAUAUUUGGAAGUGCUGAGCGGGCACUUCAGUGCGACCUGGAUAUCACCUGUGGGUUUCAGGGCAGUCAUCCUUGAGACCUCUUGUUCCUCGGGAGACCUCUUGGCCUCUUUAAGGAGCCAGGGGUCGGCGGCGCACUUAGGGGAGAAGGAGCAGGAGAACUUGAGUUAAGAAUUGCCCCCCGGAUUGGAACCAGAGGUAGCGGGAAGCCAGCAAGGGCGAGGCUCUUUCUAGGAACUCUAGGUCCACCGCUUGCCUUUGGGGAAGAGGGAGGAAGGGGCCUUGGGGCGUGAAGUUGCCUUUGGGACAUCAGCCAGAGCCUGCGACGCAAGCGCGGCCCAAAUGACUGGGAAGCCGGAACCUUCGCUCCUUCGUUCCGAACCUUCUUUGUUCCAGUCCCGCCUGGCAGCGCAGGCCGUGCACUCCCCGCGCUUCCGGGAACCUGUUUGCUUAAGAUAAUCGCAUCCCACUGAUAUUUGGGUUAUUCUCCUUCAUGCCGAAGUAAUUAGACUCUCCACCGGUGUGGCACCCUUACUUAAUUCUUCUAAUUUCUUUAAAAACACAACAUUCGCCCACAUCCAAGGCAAAAUUUACAAUCAAGAAGAUCCCUUCUUUCUUUAAAAGUGGCGGCUUUGUUCUGCUUUUAACAUCAAGUAAAAUCUACUUUGGGGAAGGUUUUUCGCUCCCCCCACCC
rnacentral:lncRNA from 1 species